UUGCGUAUAUUUAUAUUUAAUUAUUGAUUAUUUGAUUUCCGUAAAACCGUUCACUCGUAACGAGGUAGCAAAUUUUCUUCCCGGAAUUUUCGACAAAACUCACCUUUAGCCUAAUUUGAAUAUUCCGGACAUUUUUCGUGUUUUGACUUUUUCGAUCCGGAGUACGGUUUUCCCGGGAGUCGGUCCGGCGGAGUUUUUCGGGUAUUGUAAUUGUCGAUAAUUACCCAGUUUGUCUCGAUAAACGUGAACCGAGAUAUUUUCUUCAUCCUUAUCAUGUAAUAAUUGCAGUGGGACCCGCAGACCAAUAAUUGAGUUAAAAAGCCCCGUUUUGAUGAUUAUCUCGAAAACCAGUACCGAUUGGACCCCGCUUUAUUAGUAUAAAGCUAUUAAAUACGUAUUUUCAUGCCAUAAACGAUCCAAAGGGGUACCAAUUAUUUGUAAAUAUAAAUAGACCUUUCUAGAGCUUAUUUUCACCCGUAAAAUCAUUUCACCAGUUUCUCUGCACGAAUUCCGAGAGAAACCGAGCGGUGUUCUUCGUGUUCUUCAUAAUCAAACGUGGAUUUGAAGGCGUUAUUGGAGUCAGAAUCAAGCGUGCGAAUAGUCAAAUCGAAGAUAUCGAAGAGUAGAAUCUAUAUCUGCAAUCAAAAACAACAUGAGAUUCACAGAAAGGCUGAAAGAUGAGAUGAUUGGUUGAGAUUGUGAAUAAGGCUAAUGUUAGACGAGGAGACAGAGUUGAGGAUCCAGUGGGCGAGGAGUGUUCAGGAAAGUGAUGAGAUUGGUGCAAGCUAGAGUGUAAGUCAUAGCUGGAAUGGCUGACAGUGAUUCUUCUUAUCGAAGAUGAUCUGACUUGGUAAGAGAUGUUGUGUAAUAUUA